GCAGUACCAGCCCCACGUGUUUAGUGAUGGCGGUGGAAAAUGGACUCAUACAAUCAUUUUUCCAACCCUUCUUCCUUUCUUUUCUCCGAAAGGACAAGAAGAAGAAUAUCACUGUAUAGAAGAGAGAAGGAGUUGGACGGCAGGCUCCACAGAGAGACACAGUGGAGCUUUUAUCUGUGCCAGGCUAGUUCAAUUAAAAUCUUCUUCACUUCAAAACACACAGACAAAAGCACAUAGAGUACUCCUGUUGUGACCCACCACAUAAAUUGCAUGAGACUGAAUUUUUUGAUGCUACCAGAGUCUACAGAUUUUACCAGGUACAUUCUGAAAUUGAAGAGGAAAAGGACAGUAGAGGAAGGCGAUGUGGAUUUACCAGAAGAUCCCGGUGGACAGCUCACUCUGGCCAAUGGGGUCUUUGCCCCACAUGAAUGAUAAUUGAGUAGACAGUUGUAUUGGACUGUUAGUAAGGUCUGGGAGACUGUAAUAUUUUGUGGAUAUAUAUGUGCGGACAGAAAGCAUAAGCAUGGACCCCAGGGGAACGUGCUAUGUGAUUAAACAUAUGCAACGGA